AGGACAGCUCUGCCUUUGAUAUAUUUGGAGUGAAGGUGAAACCACUAAUUUCUCACUAGGAGGAUGAAGAGUGAGCUGAAUAGACCCUGUCUGCACUUCAUAGUGACGGAACCGUAGGAAAGAGCUUGGACAGAUCCAUCAACUGCUAUUGAGGGUAAUGAGUAAGGCAUGGAGGUGAACACAUUACAGAGGGUUGACCUUGCCCAGAAAGAGAAAGAGCAUGUUAGAUGCCCCCUGAAGCCUGUCCCCCUCACCUGGAACAUCAUCAGGCAAUGUUGGGCUGCCUGCUGCCUGUGAUAUACUGGAGCCAGAGUCUAGUCAAGGCUGACAUACACCAUCCAGUGCUGACAGC